rnacentral:rRNA from 1 species
UACGAAGGGGGGCUAGCGUUGCUCGGAAUCACUGGGCGUAAAGCGCACGUAGGCGGCUUUUUAAGUCAGAGGUGAAAUCCUGGAGCUCAACUCCAGAACUGCCUUUGAUACUGGAGAGCUUGAGUCCGGGAGAGGUGAGUGGAACUGCGAGUGUAGAGGUGAAAUUCGUAGAUAUUCGCAAGAACACCAGUGGCGAAGGCGCUCACUGGCCCGGUACUGACGCUGAGGUGCGAAAGCGUGGGGAGCAAACAGG